rnacentral:rRNA from 1 species
UACAAAUGAAUUGACGGGACCCGGCACAAGCAGCGGAGCGUGUGGUUUAAUUCGAUGCUACACGAAGAACCUUACCAGGGUUUGACAUGCAAGUGGGUUAGGAAACUGAAAAGGGACGACCCUUCGGGGAGCUUGCACAGGUGCUGCAUGGCUGUCGUCAGCUCGUGUCGUGAGAUGUUCGGUUAAGUCCGCUAACGAGCGCAACCCUCGCCGUAUGUUACAAGUGUCAUACGGGACUGCCGGUAAAAAGCCGGAGGAAGGUGAGGAUGAUGUCAAGUCAGCAUGACCUUUAUAUCCAGGGCUACACACACGCUACAAUGGUCUGUACAAUUGGUUGCCAAGCCGCGAGGCGGAGCCAAUCCGUAAAGCAGGCCUCAGUUCAGAUUGCAGUCUGCAACUCGACUGCAUGAAGCCGGAGUUGCUAGUAACCGCAGGUCAGCAAUACUGCGGUGAAUACGUUCCCGGGUCUU